rnacentral:tRNA from 1 species
GCCGAUUUAGCUCAGUUGGUAGAGCAUCUGAUUUGUAAUCAGAGGGUCAGCGGUUCGAAUCCGUUAAUCGGCA